UACGUAGGGUGCGAGCGUUAAUCGGAAUUACUGGGCGUAAAGCGUGCGCAGGCGGUUCGUUAAGUUCGAUGUGAAAGCCCCGGGCUCAACCUGGGAACUGCAUUGGAAACUGGCGAGCUUGAGUAUGGCAGAGGGGGUGGAAUUCCGCGGUGUAGCAGUGAAAUGCGUAGAGAUGCGGAGGAACACCGAUGGCGAAGCAGCCCCCUGGGCCAAUGACGUGACGCUCAGGCACGAAGCUGGGAGCAAC
rnacentral:rRNA from 1 species